rnacentral:tRNA from 1 species
GUGAGCGUGGCGGAAUGGUUACGCAAAGGAUUGCAAAUCCUUUUUAUGCAGGUUCGAGUCCUGUCGCUCACUCCA